CUUUGUCGUGGUCGUUUACGGCUGUCAGCCAGGGACAGAUUUCCUUUCAGCCGUUGGGAUGGACCCAGGAAUGUGGCCGCUGUGCACCGGGGAAGCAGCGGCCCAAAUGUCCGGCUGAGCGCCAGCCCUGCGGGCAGGGAGGCCUGGGGCUGCGCGGUAGCUUCUGCUCUGCACCUGCAGGGCAGUGUGGCUUGGGGGGUCGGGGGAGCCGACCGAAGCCUCAGAUGUACCUGCUGGGGCGUCUCCGGAAAACUGCAGACCCCGGCCCCAGUGCGUUCCCGCUGGGGGAAGGCGGCCGGUGGGCAGGCGUCGUCCCCUGGCCCUAGCUGGGAUGCAUUUCUAAGAUCGAAUGAACCAUCUGCUGGAGGAUACUAAAACACACGUGUUUUCUUGGCCAUUUUCUGAUGAAGAUGGCUUGACAGCCUGUCCGGCUCCCUCUUUCAAACUCCGUCAUUCGUGCUAGCCACCAGCUCUUCAUUCGGUCCGACGGCAGCAACACCAUCUCCACCCAUCAGCUUGGUGCAAUGCGCCUUGAGCAGAGGGCAGGUGAAAUAUAAGGGAAGGAGCUUGCUGGUUUAUUGACACCCCUGUGACCCUACAGGAGGGCCACAUUCAGGUCAGGGCUAUUGGAACCUGCCUCCCUUUCCCUGAGGUGGUGUGGGACUAGGCCCACGGACGCGGAACAAAACCCGCCGAUGUGUUCGCACCCUCCUGCCUUUCUCUG